AGAACCUGAACGGUCAGAGUUUCUUCCAGGAAAAUCUACUGACUACUAUGUCUGUGUGCGUAACAUAGCCAACUCCAUCACAGAGGCAUAAUUAAUUUUCCAUUUCCAGAAGUAUGGAGUGUCCAUUGUCGUCUUUCAAGAACUGUGCCAGAAAUCCAGCUACGCAAUCCUAAAAUUUGGUACCUUGGAACAUGCCCAGGCUGCAGUGUUGGAAAUGAAUGGGAAGGAGUUAUGUGGGAGAGCGUUAAAAGUCAAUUACAUCAAGGAUUCAAAACAAAGUGCAUAUGAAAAGCUGGAUCAUCUUUCAGGAUCUCAGCCUCACAA